rnacentral:misc_RNA from 1 species
AACGAGGCCGACCUGCGGCUGAGUUACCUGCGGAAGGAUCAUUACAACAAGGUUCCCUGGCCCUCGAAGCUUCGGCGGAGGGGCGCUACAGCCUGACUUUAUACCCACCCUUUGCCUAUGUGUACCCCUAUUGCUUCCCUCGGCGGGUUCGCCCGCCGACAGGAACCAACUAAACCCUUUGCAUUAUACAUUUAACACUUCCGAUACAAAACUAAAUUAUUACAACUUUUAACAACGGAU